rnacentral:rRNA from 1 species
GCCAGAGCCAUUAUCACCCUGCAGUUCUCGCCUGGUUUCUCACUGAAGCUAAGCAGGGUUGAGCCUGGCCAGUGCCUGGCUGGGAAACCUCCUGGGUAAAACUAAGGUUCCUGGAG